rnacentral:rRNA from 1 species
UACGUAGGGGGCAAGCGUUGUCCGGAAUCAUUGGGCGUAAAGAGCGUGUAGGCGGCCUGGUAAGUCCGCUGUGAAAGUCCAGGGCUCAACCCUGGAAUGCCGGUGGAAACUGUCAGGCUCGAGUCCGGAAGAGGCGAGUGGAAUUCCCGGUGUAGCGGUGAAAUGCGCAGAUAUCAGGAGGAACACCGGUGGUGUAGACGGCUCGUCUGGACAGUAACUGACGCUGAGACACGAAAGCGUGGGUAGCAAACAGG